GUCGGCUGCUCCCACCGCCGUUGUACCCGUCGCGCGCCUCGUUGACCAAGGAGCGCCUCUGACCCGUAGCUGCUCCUACUAGGUUUAUCACCGCCGUUGUGCCUUGUCAUCGCCAUCAGAGCCGCCGUGAAUAAGAGAAGGGAGGGGCGCUGCUUCACGCCGUCGCCGUCGCCGUGGGUGGAGCCGCCGUCACCAAGAUCCGCCGUGAAGAGGAACGCAAAUGGAAAAGAAAACAGGGAAGCUGAUGUUGGGAAUUUGGAGAAAAUGUCGCCGUCGUGUCUUCGUCGUCUCGUCGUCGUCUUCCUGCUGUCAGUGAAAGAAAUGAUAUUCAAGUUUCUCUAAAGAAAAAAAUAUAAUGAUAUGUACAAAUCAUCCAAAAAUCUUCUCAGCAGAAGUGAGUGGUAUUAUCACCAAGCAUUCCGUGCUUUAAAUCAAGCAGCAGGGCGUUGUAUAUGACAUAAGCUUGACUAUGGGGCAAUAAUCCUUUUGGGUAAUUAUGCUGAAUUGCUGAUCAUAUUAUAUCUCUUCUACUGUCUAUCUUGUUUCAGAAUUUAAGAACUGAUUUAGUGAUGUCUUUACCAAGUUAUUUGUUUCUUGUUUAUCCUUCUUUUACUCUGUUUACACUAUGGCCCUUGAUCUAUACUGCCAUGCCCAUCUAAAAGUAUAAGGUUUAGUUGUUGCUGUCGCCUUUUCCUAUGUAACUCUUCUUCUAGUAAUAGAUGAACGUCUUCGUGAAGAAAGAAGUAGAGCAUUCAUUUCGAAGUGGCUAAGAAGAAACCUAAAGGUUUAUGACAACUUCAAAUUAUCAAUAGAAGGACUAAAAUCCUUCUUUGAGGAUGCCAAGAAUAUAUUGGAUUAAACUCCUGAGCCAAAAACACUCGUGACUAGUUUCACGUAUCACUAGUAUUUCGACAUGACUAGAGGAUGUUGCUGCAAUUGUCUGUUUCGUGAAACUUCAUGAUAUAGCUGUACUACCAUAUGUAAACAGGUAUCCUGUUUGAAAUUUUUCUUUGUGUAGAUUAGACAAGUAUCCAUCAUUUGCAUAGCCAACUAAUUGUGACUUAGAUUCAUAUGGAUAAAACAAACCCAUAUCAACUGUUCCAUGAAGAUAUCAAAAAAUUUGUUUGAUUCUAUUCCAAUGUUUUCUGGUUGGAGGGGAACUAUACAUUGUUAGUAAAUUCACCGCAAAUGAUAUGUCAGGUCGUGUAUUAUUAGCAAGAUACAUUAGCGCUCCAAUAACUCCAACUUUUUCAGCCACAAGCAUCCAAGAAUGUGACCAAGUUAAGCAAGAAAAACACAAGGGGUGGAGUAAAGGAGCUGGCCAAAGCAUUGGAGGAAGGAGAAUCAGGAAGUACUAGCCUCUAUCAAGUCAUUUUCUUCAAAAAAAAACCAGCAGCCUCACCAUCUUCACCAACCUCUUCUUCUUAAAAAUUUAACAAUGAAAUUCACACCAAUCAUCCUCUAAGAACUUCUUUCAAGCUAGUCGAAUUCGGGUCAAGGAGGGAGACCAUAAUCGAAAGAAACUUCAAUAAAGUUACAAGAUGGGGUUUGGAAUAAUUUCAGUGGCUUAAGCAACACAAGAGUAAAGAGUUAAGUAGCUAUAUGUGUUGGUAUAUGCGGCUAUGAUGAUUGUUGAUGAUAUUUGUUGUUAAUGAUGGCUGAUAAACCACUAUUUUAUGGUUUAUAUUGUGUUUAAUUGAGUGGUUUUUAUCAAAUUAUUGCCCACUUAUUCAUAUGAUUAGCAUGAUAUUACAAUUCCUUUCCAAAGUUGUUCUAUGGUUGAAAAAUUGCUUCCUAGAGAUCCUUUUAUUGUAUAUUUUAAUUCUCCUUUAUACCAUUCAAUGCCGUGAUCCGUGUGUUAAGUGUUUUCAGGCUUCAUAGGGCAGGAAUGACUUAGAGAAUGGAGAGGAAUCUUGCAAAAAUGGAAGGAACACAAGAAACUAAGGAGAUGACCAGUGAACACCGACGUGGAUGCAUGGCUCACGCGACCGCGCGAAAUGGAGAAAAGAUUGGAGUCUGCACGAGUGACGCGAACGCGUGGACGACGCGUACGCGUGGUAAGAAAAAAAUGCUGAAUGAUGCGCACGCGUGGAUGACGCGUACGCGUGACAUGCGUGAUCUGCAUAAUUAACAGAACACACUGGGAGCAAUUUCGGGCCGCGUUUUGACCCAGUUCUCGGCCCAGAAACACAGAAUAAAGCAAGGAAACAUGCAGAGACUCAAUGGAUACAAAGCAUAGGCUCAUAAUUCAUAAUUUUAGGUUUAGAUGUAGUUUUUAGAGAGAGAGACUCUCCCCUCUCUCUUAGGUUUUAGGAUUUAGAAUUUUUUUUAGGAUUAGGAUUUAUACUUCUUAAUUUCCAGGUUUAAUAUUCCUUUACUUUUUUAUGUUUUCUUCUACUUUUAUUUAUUUUAUUACUUUAGUUGAUUACUUGAUAUUGCCAAUUUGGUUUAUGGAUUCUUAUGUUCAAUCUAACUUU